rnacentral:rRNA from 1 species
UGGGGAAUAUUGCACAAUGGGCGCAAGCCUGAUGCAGCAAUGCCGCGUGUGUGAAGAAGGCCUGCGGGUUGUAAAGCACUUUUAUCGGGAAAGAAAAGCAUAGGGUUAAUACCUCUAUGUAUUGACGGUACCCGAAGAAUAAGCACCGGCUAACUCAGUGCCAGCAGCCGCGGUAAUACUGAGGGUGCAAGCGUUAAUCGGAAUUACUGGGCGUAAAGCGAGUGUAGGCGGCUGCGUAAGUCGGAUGUGAAAGCCCCGGGCUCAACCUGGGAAUGCCAUUCGAAACUGCGCAGCUAGAGUCUGACAGAGGGAAGUGGAAUUCCAGGUGUAGCGGUGAAAUGCGUAGAGAUCUGGAGGAACAUCAGUGGCGAAGGCGGCUUCCUGGGUCAAGACUGACGCUGAGGCUCGAAAGCGUGGGGAGCAAACAGGAUUAGAUACCCCCGUAGUCC